rnacentral:rRNA from 1 species
UACGUAGGGGGCAAGCGUUGUCCGGAUUUAUUGGGCGUAAAGAGCGUGUAGGCGGCCCGGUAGGUCAGCUGUGAAAACUCGAGGCUCAACCUCGAGACGUCGGUUGAAACCACCUGGCUAGAGUCCGGAAGAGGAGAGUGGAAUUCCUGGUGUAGCGGUGAAAUGCGCAGAUAUCAGGAAGAACACCCGUGGCGAAGGCGGCUCUCUGGGACGUUACUGACGCUGAGGAGCGAAAGCCAGGGGAGCAAACGGG